rnacentral:rRNA from 1 species
AACGAACGCUGGCGGCAGGCUUAACACAUGCAAGUCGAGCGCCCCGCAAGGGGAGCGGCAGACGGGUGAGUAACGCGUGGGAACGUACCCUUUCCUACGGAAUAACGCAUGGAAACGUGUGCUAAUACCGUAUGUGCCCUUCGGGGGAAGGAUUUAUCGGAAAAGGAUCGGCCCGCGUUGGAUUAGCUAGUUGGUGGGGUAAAGGCCUACCAAGGCGACGAUCCAUAGCUGGUCUGAGAGGAUGAUCAGCCACAUUGGGACUGAGACACGGCCCAAACUCCUACGGGAGGCAGCAGUGGGGAAUAUUGGACAAUGGGCGCAAGCCUGAUCCAGCCAUGCCGCGUGAGUGAUGAAGGCCCUAGGGUUGUAAAGCUCUUUCACCGGUGAAGAUAAUGACGGUAACCGGAGAAGAAGCCCCGGCUAACUUCGUGCCAGCCGCCGCAGUAACAC